rnacentral:rRNA from 1 species
UACAGAGGGUGCGAGCGUUAAUCGGAAUUACUGGGCGUAAAGCGCGCGUAGGCGGCUUUGCAAGUCGGGUGUGAAAUCCCCAGGCUUAACCUGGGAACUGCAUUCGAGACUGCAUUGCUAGAGUAUGGGAGAGGGAAGUGGAAUUUCCGGUGUAGUGGUGAAAUGCGUAGAUAUCGGGAGGAACACCGGUGGCGAAGGUGGGUCUCUGGGCAUCUCCUGACGCUGAGGCGCGAAAGCGUGGGGAGCAAACGGG